CUUUGGGGGAAAGCAGGGGAUCUUCGGACCUUGCGCUAUUGGAUGUGCCUAUGUCGGAUUAGCUAGUUGGUGGGGUAAGAGCCUACCAAGGCGACGAUCCGUAGCUGGUCUGAGAGGAUGAUCAGCCACAUCGGGACUGAGACACGGCCCGAACUCCUACGGGAGGCAGCAGUGGGGAAUAUUGGACAAUGGGGGCAACCCUGAUCCAGCCAUGCCGCGUGUGUGAAGAAGGCUUUCGGGUUGUAAAGCACUUUCAGUGAGGAGGAAAACCUUACGACUAAUACUCGUGAGGCUUGACGUUACUCACAGAAGAAGCACCGGCUAACUCCGUGCCAGCAGCCGCGGUAAUACGGAGGGUGCAAGCGUUAAUCGGAAUUACUGGGCGUAAAGCGCGCGUAGGUGGUUUGAUAAGCGAGAUGUGAAAGCCCCGGGCUCAACCUGGGAACGGCAUUUCGAACUGUCAGGCUAGAGUAUGGUAGAGG
rnacentral:rRNA from 1 species